rnacentral:rRNA from 1 species
CCUCCUUUUCUCCGCCGUGCGGCCUCUUGGUCCCUGGGCGGCCGUCUGCCCCAGCCAUGCCGCGUGCAGGAAGACGGCUCUAUGAGUGGUAAACUGCAUUUGUACAAGGGUAAACCUCAAUACGUGUAUUCAGCUGAAAGUACUGUACGAAUAAGGAACGGCUAACUCAGUGACAGCAGCCGCGGUAAUACGGAGGAACCAAGCGUUAUCCGGAUUUAUUGGGUUGAAAGGGUGCGUAGGCGGAUUGAUAAGUUAGAGGUGAAAUGUCCGAGCUUAACUCGGGAACUGCCUCUAAUACUGUUGAGCUAGAGUGUAGGUGCGGUAGGUGGAAUGUAUGGUGUAGCGGUGAAAUGCUUAGAGAUCAUAGAGAACACCGAUUGCGAAGGCAGCUUACCAAUCUAUAUCUGACGUUGAGGCACGAAAGCGUGGGGAGCAAACAGGAUUAGAUACCCGUGUAGUC